rnacentral:rRNA from 1 species
UACGGGGGGGGCAAGCGUUGUUCGGAAUUACUGGGCGUAAAGGGCUCGUAGGCGGCCAACUAAGUCAGACGUGAAAUCCCUCGGCUUAACCGGGGAACUGCAUCUGAUACUGGAUGGCUUGAGUUCGGGAGAGGGAUGCGGAAUUCCAGGUGUAGCGGUGAAAUGCGCAGAUAUCAGGAGGAACACCGAUGGCGAAGGCAGGUCUCUGGGCCACUACUGACGCUGAGAAGCGAAAGCAUGGGGAGCGAACAGG